GACGAACGCUGGCGGCGUGCUUAACACAUGCAAGUCGAACGGAAAGGCCCUGCUUGCAGGGUACUCGAGUGGCGAACGGGUGAGUAACACGUGGGUGAUCUGCCCUGCACUUCGGGAUAAGCCUGGGAAACUGGGUCUAAUACCGGAUAGGAGCCAUUCUGAGUGUGAUGGUUGGAUAGUUUUUUUGGUGUGGGAUGAGCUCCCGGCCUGUCAGCUUGUUGGUGGGGUAAUGGCCUACCAAGGCGGCGACGGGUAGCCGGCCUGAGAGGGUGGACGGCCACAUUGGGGCUGGGAAUCGGCCCAGACUCCUACCGGAGGCAGCAGUUGGGAAUAAUGCACAAUUGGCGCAAGCCUGAUGCAGCGACGCCGCGGUGGGGAUGACGGGCUUCGGGUUGUAAACUCCUUUCGCUAGGGACGAAGCUUUUUGUGACGGUACCUAGAUAAGAAGCACCGGCUAACUACGUG
rnacentral:rRNA from 1 species